rnacentral:tRNA from 1 species
GCUGCGAUGGCCGAGUGGUUAAGGCGUUGGACUUGAAAUCCAAUGGGGUCUCCUGCGCAGGUUCGAACCCUGCUCGCAGCG